rnacentral:rRNA from 1 species
GGAUUAGAUACCCUGGUAGUCCACGCGGUAAACGAUGUCUACUAGCAGCUCGCUCCGUAGAGGAGGGUUUUGCGCAGCUAACGCGUUAAGUAGACCGCCUGGGGAGUACGGUCGCAAGAUUAAAACUCAAAUGAAUUGACGGGGGCCCGCACAAGCGGUGGAGCAUGUGGUUUAAUUCGAUGCAACGCGAAGAACCUUACCAUCCCUUGACAUCCACAGAAGAGUCUAGAGAUAGACUUGUGCCUUCGGGAACUGUGAGACAGGUGCUGCAUGGCUGUCGUCAGCUCGUGCCG